rnacentral:rRNA from 1 species
ACCAAGGUGAUGAUANCGUAGCCGAACUNGAGAGGUUGAUCGGCCACAUUGGGACUGAGACACGGCCCAAACUCCUACGGGAGGCAGCAGUAGGGAAUCUUCCACAAUGGACGCAAGUCUGAUGGAGCAACGCCGCGUGAGUGAAGAAG